AAGUUUAGUCGGAGCUGGUGCAA
rnacentral:siRNA from 1 species